rnacentral:rRNA from 1 species
UUGGAGGGCAAGUCUGGUGCCAGCAGCCGCGGUAAUUCCAGCUCCAAUAGCGUAUAUUAAAGUUGUUGCAGUUAAAAAGCUCGUAGUUGAAUUUCGGGGUCAGUAGGUUGGUCAUGCCACUGGUAUGUACUGGUCUCACUGAUUCCUCCUUCCUGAUGAACUGUAAUGCCAUUAAUUUGGUGUUGCAGGGAAUCUGGACUGUUACUUUGAAAAAAUUAGAGUGUUUAAAGCAGGCUAACGCCUGAAUACAUUAGCAUGGAAUAAUGAAAUAGGACGUUCGAUCCUAUUUUGUUGGUUUCUAGGAUUGACGUAAUGAUUAAUAGGGAUAGUUGGGGGCAUUAGUAUUCAAUUGUCAGAGGUGAAAUUCUUGGAUUUAUUGAAGACUAACUACUGCGAAAGCAUUUGCCAAGGAUGUUUUCAUUAAUCAAGAACGAAAGUUAGGGGAUCGAAGACGAUCAGAUACCGUCGUAGUCUUAACCAUAAACUAUGCCGACUAGGGAUCGGACGAUGUUAAAUUUUAUUGACUCGUUCGGCGCCUUACGGGAAAC